rnacentral:pre_miRNA from 1 species
UUUGUACUCCCUCCAUCCCAAAAUUCUUGUCUUAGAUUUGUCUAAAUACAGAUGUAUCAAGUCAUGUUUUAGUAUUAGAUACAUCCGUAUCUAGACUAAUCUAAGACAAGAAUUAUGGGACGGAGGGAGUAUGUA